rnacentral:rRNA from 2 species
CACGCCUGUCCGAGGGUCGGCU